rnacentral:lncRNA from 1 species
UGAGGGCUUUUGGAUCUCCUCGGCCCCAUACCCUGGGGCAAUCGCCUGCUGAUCAUGGAUGGAUAGACAUGGGAGUCGAGCCAGGCUGCUUGAUCCCAUCUCCGUCGUAUGUUAUGCUCCUCUUGACCUGAGAUCUGCUCGGAGUAUUAUCCUGUGGCAAUAGGAAUCUUACCUUGCGAUAUCACCUCUCAUCCUCCCAAGUCUUGCGUCUCGUGCUCGAUCCACCUCCACC